rnacentral:rRNA from 1 species
GACGAACGCUGGCGGCGUGCUUAACACAUGCAAGUCGAGCGAUGAAGCCGGAGCUUGCUCUGGUGAAUUAGUGGCGAACGGGUGAGUAACACGUGAGUAACCUGCCCUUGACUCUGGGAUAACUGCGGGAAACUGUAGCUAAUACCGGAUACGACCCUCGGAGGCAUCUCCUGGGGGUGGAAAGAAUGUCGGUCAAGGAUGGACUCGCGGCCUAUCAGCUAGUUGGUGAGGUAAAGGCUCACCAAGGCGACGACGGGUAGCCGGCCUGAGAGGGUGACCGGCCACACUGGGACUGAGACACGGCCCAGACUCCUACGGGAGGCAGCAGUGGGGAAUAUUGCACAAUGAGCGCAAGCCUGAUGCAGCAACGCCGCGUGAGGGAUGACGGCCUUCGGGUUGUAAACCUCUUUUAGCAGGGAAGAAGCGAAAGUGACGGUACCUGCAGAAAAAGCACCGGCUAACUACGUGCCAGCAGCCGCCGUAA